AUUGUUCAAAAUUAUCAAAUACGAAUCGUAAAUCUUAAUUACGAUUUUAAGAGAAUCCGAGCAAUUUUUAUUUACCGCAUAAGCGACGAUCGAUGAUUGUUUCGAUUUAAAAUUGAAAAAAAAAAGAAAAAGAAAAGCGUGGAAAAUUCGUUAAAUUUGCGGCGGAAGGAUAACGAGAACGAAGGAUAAAAGUAAUAAUGACUGGGUGCGAAAGAGAAAUCGAAAUUGGAGGAGAGAAAGAGGAGGAGGAGGGGGAAGAGUAUGCGCGAGCGAAUAAGAGUAGGAAUAAGAAGAGGAACGGGGUGGAAAGGAUGGGAACGAGAUGUGUGGUCGUGUUCCACUUUGCGACGCGUUCAUUAACGUAGCCAUCUACCGGCUCGAGGGGCAAACGCGCAAUUACAGCGGAA